AAUUAACUCAAUGGUAGAGUUUUUCGCUUACAACGAAAGGGUUAAAGGUUCGAAU
rnacentral:tRNA from 1 species